rnacentral:lncRNA from 1 species
AAGCUAAGCGGCGCUGGUGAAGCGGCUCAUCAGGUCUAUCAGGAAACCUGAGAAUUGGAGUGAGAAUCCCAGUGUGGAAAAUCAGGAAAGAGGCUGGUAUGAGCGACAGAGAAGUCAUUCAGGAAAGAGUAUCCUAAGGGAAAUACCACAAAAUGUCUCAGAAAAUGUUGGUUGGAUAUCUAAAGUUUAAAAAGGAAGAGAACCACACCAGCUGGAGAUUAAAGAAGCAUCAGUAGAAUAUCUUAAGGGAAAUACUACAAAAUGUCGCAGAAGGUGCUGGAUGGAUAUCUAAAGUUCAAAAAGGAAGAGAACCACACGAGCUGGAGAUUCAGGAAGCAUCAGUAGAAGUCAAUGGCCAUUAAUAAAAACAUUUUUUAUUAAAAUAUUGAAUCUGAAUAGAAACCUCCUGUACUUCAUUUCUUAAAUCCCUUGAGGGUAGUAACUGCAUCUUCUCCAUUGAUAUAGCCCCUGCCAAGCACAGUGCCUGAAGGCAGGUCCACAGACAUUGGCUGAAUAAACGAGUGCUCUGUUCCCAGUCCGUACUUUCUCUGUGUCAUAAAAAAGCUGACAUGUCUGUGCUGCAUUUGAGGAUGACACUGGAUUUCCACAUUGCCUUUUCGCCUCAGAGCUUAUAUUACUUCCUAUCAAGUUAUCUCUCUGCCCCUCAUCGCAUCCCAGUGAGAAAGCAGAAAAUCCUAGAAAGUCAUUUUCCUUACUGUUCCGGUGGUGGCUCUUCACGCUUACAGAACGUUAGGUACACUGGGAACAUCACCUAGAGGGACACUGACAUCACCUCAUCAUAACAUAUGUCUC